AGAGUUUGAUCAUGGCUCAGGAUGAACGCUAGCGAUGUGCCUGAGAUAUGCAAGUCGAGCGCCGUUUAAAAAGAGCUUGCUCUUUUUGAACGAGCGGCGGACGGCUGAGUAACACGUAGGGACUUUCCCCUAGGUAUAGGAUAGCUCACCGAAAGGUGGGGUAAUACUGUAUGGUACCCGGAUUUUAUCUGGGUUAAAGGGCUUAACUGCCCGCCAAGGGAUAGACCUGCGGCCUAUCAGGUAGUUGGUGAGGUAACGGCUCACCAAGCCUAUGACGGGUAGCUGGCCUCAUGAGGGUGGUCAGCCAGAGGGGGACUGAGACACGGCCCCCACUCCUACGGGAGGCAGCAAUCAGGAAUAGUCGGCAAUGGACGAAAGUCUGACCGCGCGACAUCGCGUGUAGGAAGAAGCUCCAAAAGAGUGUAAACUACUGUGGCAGGGGAAGAAGAUCCGCAAGGAUUUGACGGUACCCUGCUAGAAAGUGGCCGCUAACUGCGUGCCAGAAGCGUCGGUAAUACGUGGGCCACGAGCGUUAUCCGGUGUCACUGGGCGUAAAAGGUCGUGUAGGUGGUUGUACAAGUUAUCUUUUAAAUCUCUCCGCUCAACGGAGAAACUGGGGAUAAGACUGUACAUCUAGAAUUUUCUUUAGGGUAAACGGAACUGUGAGAGGAGUAGUGAAAUGCGUUGAUACUCACGGGAACACCAGUGGCGAAGGCGGUUUACUGGAAGAAAAUUGACACUCAGACACGAAAGCUA
rnacentral:rRNA from 1 species